rnacentral:rRNA from 1 species
UACGGGGGGGGCAAGCGUUGUUCGGAAUUACUGGGCGUAAAGGGCUCGUAGGCGGCUAACUAAGUCAGACGUGAAAUCCCCAGGCUCAACCUGGGAACUGCGUCUGAUACUGGAUGGCUUGAAUCCGGGAGAGGGAUGCAGAAUUCCAGGUGUAGCGGUGAAAUGCGUAGAUAUCUGGAGGAAUACCGGUGGCGAAGGCGGCGCUCUGGGCCGGAACUGACGCUGAGGAGCGAAAGCGUGGGUAGCAAACAGG